rnacentral:rRNA from 1 species
AGUAACAACCAUUUGAGUCUGGGAUUUCUGAAUGGGGAAACCCACUUACAUAAGUAAGUAUCAUUAACUGAAUACAUAGGUUAAUGAGGCGAACCGGGGGAACUGAAACAUCUAAGUACCCCGAGGAAAAGAAAUCAACCGAGAUUCCGAAAGUAGCGGCGAGCGAAAUUGGACUAGCCCUUAAGCUUUAUAUGCGUUAGACGAACGGUCUGGAAAGUCCGGCGAUACAGGGUGAUAGCCCCGUAGUUGACAACGCACAUUCAGUGAAAUCGAGUAGGGCGGGACACGUGAUAUCCUGUCUGAA